UUCUUCUGCCUCAGCCUCCAGAGUAGCUGGGACUACAGGUGACUGCUUCUGUGCCAGGCUGUGUGCUGAGCAUGGUGAAUACAGAAAUGAAGAAGACCAAGCACCAUCCCCAAGAAAUACAAGGACUUGAAAGAGAGACAGAUAAAGGCACUUCCCAACUGUGGACAAAUGGAACAGAUAAUGAAUUUACAAGGCUUGGAAGGUGCAAAGAAAAAGGAGUGUGCAAUCCUUAACCUAGAUGAUGACUAAAACAAAUUGUGGAAGGAUAACUGAAUUCACUGUGGUGACAAGAAUGGGGCAGGGUGCAGUAUGGUCAACAGCUUAGAGGUAUAAACACAUUGCCAUGCCCCAGAGACCAUUAGCUCCGCCCUCCCACAAAAAAAAUGUGACAACUGACAAAUGUUGGAGUUGAGAAUGUCCUAGAUCACAAUAAGUAGAUCUUUCCCUUCUCUAAAGUCAGUAUAUUUCUGUUGGGACAGUGCCCUGCUCUGAUUCAGAAAGGUGCCAGUCUUCCUGACUUCAGGGACUUGCAGUGGCUUUGGACAGUGGCUUUGCACUUUGUGAGCUCGCACUUACUGAGGAAGAAUGCCUUAGAGUGUGGCCCAUGCUCUAGCCUGCAUGGCUGGUGGCACUGAGUUAGGACAUGUGUAUCACUGAUAUUCGUAUUUCCUAAAAGUCUUAUUAUUAUGCUGUACAGAUAUGUGUGGAUUUUUUAAAGCUUGCACUCAAUAAACUGUGAAUCUGCGACUGUAAAUAA